rnacentral:rRNA from 1 species
CCUACGGGAGGCAGCAGUGGGGAAUAUUGCACAAUGGGGGAAACCCUGAUGCAGCGACGCCGCGUGAGUGAAGAAGUAUUUCGGUAUGUAAAGCUCUGUCAGCAGGGAAGAAAAUGACGGUACCUGACCAAGAAGCCACGGCUAACUACGUGCCAGCAGCCGAGGUAAUACGUAGGGGGCAAGCGGUAUCCGGAUUUUCUGGGUGUAAAGGGAGCGUAGACGGCAGGGCAAGUCUGGAGGGAAAGGAGGGGGUUCAAACCCCGGACUGCGUUGGAAACUGCCAGGCUGGAGUGCAGGAGAGGUAAGUGGAAUUCCUAGUGUAGCGGUGAAAUGCGGAGAUAUUAGGAGGAACACCAGUGGCGAAGGCGGCUUACUGGACUGUAACUGACGUUGAGGCUCGAAAGCGUGGGGAGCAAACAGGAUUAGAUACCCCAGUAGUC